rnacentral:rRNA from 1 species
UACAGAGGUCUCAAGCGUUGUUCGGAUUCAUUGGGCGUAAAGGGUGCGUAGGCGGCGGGGCAAGUCUGAUGUGAAAUCCCGGGGCUCAACCCCGGAACUGCAUUGGAUACUGCCUUGCUAGAGUACUGGAGAGGAGACUGGAAUUUACGGUGUAGCAGUGAAGUGCGUAGAUAUCGUAAGGAAGGCCAGUGGCGAAGGCGAGUCUCUGGACAGUUACUGACGCUGAGGCACGAAGGCCAGGGGAGCAAACGGG